ensembl:rRNA 5S_rRNA 5S ribosomal RNA
AGCCACAGCCAUAUCACCCUGCAGCCCAAGAGCGGUUACUCACUAAAGAUAAGCAGGGCUGAGCCUGGUUAGUACCUGGAUGGGAGACCACCAGUGAACACCUGGUUGCUGUUGGAA